GAUGAAGAACGCAGCGAAAUGCGAUACGUAGUGUGAAUUGCAGAAUUCAGUGAAUCAUCGAAUCUUUGAACGCACAUUGCGCCCGCCGGUAUUCUGGCGGGCAUGCCUGUUCGAGCGUCAUUUCAACCAUCAAGCCCCCGGCUUGUGUUGGGGACCUGCGGCUGCCGCAGGCCCUGAAAAGCAGUGGCGGGCUCGCUGUCACACCGAGCGUAGUAGCAUACAUCUCGCUCUGGGCGUGCUGCGGGUUCCGGCCGUUAAACCACCUUCAUAACCCAAGGUUGACCUCGGAUCAGGUAGGAAGACCCGCUGAACUUAAGCAUAUCAAUAAGCGGAGGA
rnacentral:misc_RNA from 1 species